rnacentral:lncRNA from 1 species
CCCCUUCUGAGCGGGGAAAAAUGUCUCGAUUUAGUUUUAAUUUUUUCAUCCCUACCUCAGAUUCUGCCCAUGAUGUGAGAUAACAUUUCGAAGUCAAUGAUACCCCUGCCUGGUUCGACAUAAAAUCUUCUACUCACGUCUAGUGGCGUGAAAAGGUGUAACUAAAUUGAUGGCCACAUCGAAACGGCAAUAGAGGGGAAUUGUAACUUUAUCAUCAGUUCCAUUCGAUCUGAUAUCAAUGCACGGUUCAAAUUGCUACUCUCGGCCGACAAGCUGAAUUUUUAUUCCGAAACCAAGAACGAGGUGUCAAGGAUGCGACCAGACCUCCUGUGGCUUACCCUAGUCGGUCUGAACAUUUUGGAUCCGCAAUUUUUCAAACCCCCACCCCCCACCCCAUUCUAUUUUCAUGACGUGAAGUGUCGUUUAGUAUGUGUUUUGUGAGACAAGUGAUCUCCCUGAGUUUUGGUCUGGUUGUGGCGUGUGCUGAAAUCGUGGGAUAUGAGAGCUUGCGAGGUUUGGCGCGGGCGGUCGACUACCUCCCCGAGAUGGUCGAAACUACUCAGGACUGCUCCUUCUUACCUCGCUUAUUCGAGGAACUGAUCCCUACGCAAGUCCAACUUCUACACUAUAUAGAAAGUGCGCCUUCAAUAUUUACAUAUGCACCACGGUUGGCCGCUGGACACGAACACUUGCAGCCAGGCGCUACUCAUACUGUCUUAAGACGAACUGUUUCCGGAAGGGAAUGGGUCCAUUCUUAGUUGGUGGGAUGUUACGAGUGGCGGAUCUAUGUGAACCUGACUGAAGACUCGCGUGAGUACCGGCAACUGGCUGCCAGCGUGAUCCAGCUCACUCUCACCGAUGGCGAGCUCGUUGAGAUCCCUUCUCUCUUUGACUUUGCCAGUCUUCAGUUCCAGGCCGUCCCUUUUCUCAUCGCUUUCCCUAACCUCCAGUCCGUCAGCUUCGCCCACAAUAAAAUACAGAAAAUCCAGCUCGAUACAUUCAGUUAUAAUCUUCAACUACGAGAACUUUACCUCGACUCAAAUGAAAUUGAAUCUAUUCAGAGUGGAACUUUCAAAAAAUUAACAUUCUUGACCACGCUGAAUUUAAGCAAGAAUAAACUCUUUGAGGUGCCAGCUCUCCUCCCUCUGUCCCUGCUGAACUUAGACUUGUCGGACAAUCAGCUCGAAAGAGUUGCACCACAAACGAUAGAAGAGAAUGUUAAAAGGCUAGAAUCUUUGAAUUUAUGCGGACAUAACCUAAAACCGAGGACAUCUUUAAAUCAUCUGGAAUUCGGGAACUUGAGAAGACUAUGUCUUGGCAGUGCUGGAAUAGGUUUUCCUCUGCAAAAAAAUGAGAUUUUGGAUUUUCAACUCGUGAACCUCACGCUUUCAUCAGAAGGAAGUCUCCAUUGGUCACUUAACGUGAGCUCCCUCAGUGCCAUCAAGAAACUUCUUCGACUUCAAGAACUGAAUGUAGAAUAUUUUAAAAUCGAAUCACUUGAGUUCUUGCACCCAUUGAGUAAAUUAGAAGUUCUGAGGAUGAAGAAUGUUUCUUUCGUGCAGGUGUAUUCAUUGCCAGGAAUGUUCUUCAUCAAUAAGUCUCGAUUGAAAAUAGUAGAUUUAGAGCAAAGUCCAAAAUUAGCAUCAAUUCUACUGCCAUACUUGGCUAAACUGCCGCACUUAGAGAAGCUUAGCCUACGUCGGACGGAGCUUAAGACGUUGCCGGCGGACCCGUUCACAACUGGGAAGACGGUGCGGCUGGACCUGAGCAUGAACCCGCUCCACUGCACGGAGGACUUUCGGUGGGUCCUCGACCAGUGCAAGGGGCGCCCGAGCGGCGACUAUUCCAUCCUCAUCUCGUCCGAUAUCACCUGCUGCGAAGCGCCCUACAGACUCGAGGGGGUCGAGCUCCGAUGCGUCGAUGACUUCGGCGGCUUGGAGAGCAACUCAACAUCGGACACAAAGAAAACCGCGGAUCGUAUUCGAUAA